ACUCCUACGGGAGGCAGCAGUAGGGAAUCUUGCGCAAUGGGCGAAAGCCUGACGCAGCCAUGCCGCGUGAAUGAUGAAGGUCUUAGGAUUGUAAAAUUCUUUCACCGGGGAAGAUAAUGACGGUACCCGGAGAAGAAGCCCCGGCUAACUACGUGCCAGCAGCCGCGGUAAUACGUAGGGUGCAAGCGUUAAUCGGAAUUAUUGGGCGUAAAGGGCGCGCAGGCGGCUCUGAAAGUCAGAUGUGAAAGCCCUGGGCUUAACCUGGGGACUGCAUUUGAUACUGGGUUGCUUGAAUUCGGGAGAGGAUAGCGGAAUUCCCAGUGUAGAGGUGAAAUUCGUAGAUAUUGGGAAGAACACCGGUGGCGAAGGCGGCGCCCUGGACGAGACCUGACGCUCAGGCACGAAAGCUGGGGGAGCAAACAGGAUUAGAUACCCUGGUAGUCCACGCCGUAAACGAUGAGUGCUAGACGCUGGUAGGUUUACCUAUCGGUGUCGCAGCUAACGCGCUAAGUUCUCCGCCUGGGGAGUACGGCCGCAAGGUUGAAACUUAAAGGAAUUGACG
rnacentral:rRNA from 1 species